GACGAACGCUGGCGGCGUGCUUAACACAUGCAAGUCGAACGGAAAGGCCCUGCUUUUGUGGGGUGCUCGAGUGGCGCACGGGUGAGUAACACGUGUGUAACCUGCACUUGUCUUUGGGAUAACUUUAGGAAACUGGGGCUCAUACCGGGUAGGAGCUCCUGCUGCAUGGUGGGGGUUGGUAAGAUUCGGCGGUUGUGGCUGGACUCGAGGCUUACGAGCUUGUUGGUGGGGUAGUGGCUUACCAAGGUUUUGACGGGUAGGCGGCCUGAGAGGGUGACCGGCCACAUUGGGCCUGCGAUACGGCCCAGACUCCUACGGGAGGCAGCAGUGGGGAAUAUUGCACAAUGGGCGGAAGCCUGAGGCAGCAACGCCGCGUGCGGGAUGACCGCCUUCGGGUUGUAAACCGCUUUCGCCUGUGACGAAGCGUUAGUGACGGUAAUGGGUAAAGAAGCACCGGCUAACUACGUG
rnacentral:rRNA from 1 species